rnacentral:lncRNA from 1 species
GAACACACAAAUUCUCGACGCCAAACUGUUAUGAAAUUCGAGGUAAAAUUGAAUCUCAUUUUCCCCAUUUUCUGCUUAAUUUUUCACUUUAAUGGAAGAAAAAAGUUUCCUUCGUGUCUGUUUUUUUUUUUGCUAAUUCAGAUAUUUUGAUGAUUAUUGCUGGUGAGUUUUGAGUUUUAACUGAUUUUGUUAUUCGAAUCAUUACUUUGCUCCGUCCCUGGACCACCAUUGUCCGACCUCUGUCCACGGCUCAGAAGCGAAGCCAGAAUUUAAACUUUAUGAGUUCGAGAUUUUAGGAUAAUAUUUUUAAAUGCUAAUUAAUAAGUUUGGAAUUUAAUAUUUAUACUUAUUUAGUAGAAUCCUUGAGUCGAGGAUCUAUAGGAAAUAACCAUAAGGACAAGGUCUGUUUACGCUCUACCCUUUUCGAGUCUGGAAUUACAUUGGGUAUGUUGUUGAUAUUUAGUAGAAUCUUAACUCAUAGAGAAUUUGAGCUGAAGAUUUAACCCUACGGGUGAAUAGACUUUUAGUCGUGGGCUCAUUUGAACUCAUAACUUUUGUAUAUGGUAUAGAUAUAUAUAUGUAAAAAAAUUAUUAAAAUAUCAAAAGUUUGAACGAUGCAAGAGAAUUAAAUCCAUUAAAUUUAUAUUUUGGAUCCGUCUCGAUCUCUUAUUGUUCCCCUUUAUAUAUGCUUCACUUUCAGAAGUUAUGUAAAGAAUUCACCCUUUAACAUUAAGAAUUCAUCCCACAAAAGGACCCUGUUUAUAGAACAAUUACUCGGAAAGAUGAGUGCAGGAAACAAAGAGAUGAAACGAAAGAGACAAGAGAACAACCAAAUAAAAGUUGUGGUGGAGUGAGAAGUACUCCUUUAUUCUUAACUAGAGGUUUCGGGUUCAAGCUUUGAGUAUGGAAGUGACUGGACACAAGUUGGGAAACAAACUAAUAGAGAGAAGAGAAUAGAAAAUUUAAAUGAAAAUGAUUCCCCGAAAGAAUGACAAUAUAAAAAGUUGUACAUGUGCAACUAAAUGAAGCUUCCAACAUAAUUUUUUUUUUUGCAUUCGCUCUCCUAUUAUAUGUGUAGAACAUGCGAGCGUCACAUAGCUGUUGGAGUCCCUCGUCGGUUGGAUAAGGGGUCCUUGUUCUCUUUUUAUAGUUUGGGGCAAUCCUUCCCUCAUGAUCUAGUUUUUGGAUAAAGUCAGGCCCCCAUUUCUUUAACAUGAUAUUAGAGCAAAACGCAUCCCAAUUCAUUGUUUCUGAUGUUGGGCCUUCCGGCUUAUAUUGUCCAUACUCUAGAUGUCUAGUCUUGGGCUUGCAGAGUUGUUGGAGUCCACAUUGGUGGGAUAAGGGGUCCUGGUCUCCUUAUGUGGUCUAUGUAUUAAGCCUUUAUACAAUUUACAUGAACAAUUUUGGAAUUUAUAACUAUUUGUACUGAUUCAUGUGGUAACAUUUUUGAUAUUAUGAAAAUGUAACAUGCAAAUAUAAUGUGAAUACUUUUGUCACUUAUAAUUCAACAGUUUCUAUUGGAACCACUAACAUAGGCUUGUUAUACAUUGUUCCAAUUACUAAAAUGAGAAGAAAAUAAAACUAGAAACCAAUUGUAGGCUGUAGCACAACUGCAACUGGGCUUCUUACUGAGUACUUCUUACUACUCCAUUUCAAGAAUCCUUGAGCAAUGCCACUGUUUGGGCUAUUAUCUCUUUUCGUAAAUGUCACUUGGUAUUUCAACUUCUGGUCCAACUGGGAGAAUUCCAGAGUAGAGGGCUUAACAAUCACAGAGACUCCGGGUGGGGAAGCUAUUUCCACACUGUAAGAUGAUUUAGCUUCCCCGACGUUAGUCACUGUUCUCGUAUAAGUCUGAGGAAUUUCUCCUAGUGCGAUGGAGAAUGAAGGAUAAUUUAGUUGUGCUUCAGGAAUGUGUUUCACUUCCUUACAAUCCACUUUGCGUUGCAGGAGAUUUCCCACCUGUCGAUUUGUGUAAUUCAAACCGCAGAGGUAAGGCAGGUAGUCCUUCAAUUCGGUGUCGUAGAUUAGUCCUGGAUCAUUAGCUCUCGAUGGAUUGACAUGUCCUGUACCGAUUGCGAAGAUGUUAGCCGGAAGGAGCCUCUCAUCUAAGAUGGGAUCAUUGGCGAGGUUCACUGUGUUAGCAGUUGUCAUGAUUGCUGAUUUGAUAGCUGCAGGGGACCAAAGUCGGGUAGUGUGCUUUUCAGCAAUGCUGCUACUCCACUGAGGUGUGGACAAGACAUGGAAGUGCCCGAUAUAAUGUUGAAGGUAGACUUUGUGUUUGUUUUGUUGUCAAUGGAGGUAGGCCAAGCAGCAAGAAUGUUAAGACCGGGACCAAUAAUAUCAGGCUUCAAGAUUCCAGGACUAGCUAUACUUGGUCCCCUAGAAGAAAAUGCAGUAACCACCGGAGCAUCUUUAUCCCCAAUUAUUGUUCCUUGAAAUGCAAUUUUUGCAAUUGGUUUUGACGUUGAGUUCAUGUAGUCAAGAAUUUCCAUUCCAUCUUUGUAGGUAAUAUAUAGAGCCGGAAGGACGUGAGCAUCGGCAGGUAUAGUGAAACCAUCAUCAGCGGUACUAAUGAUAAUCAUGCCAGCACCUCCGGCAUCCUUUACAGUUUUUCCUUUUACUAUCCUGGGAAUACCACCCCCUGCCUUGCACACAACAAUUUUGCCUUUAAUUUCAGGGUCACUCAGAGUAUCUGGUCCGCAGUAAGGUCUUUCAAAGUCAGUUGCAUUCAGUGAAGGAUCAAACAGAGGGGAAAAUGUUGAAUUGUGAUCCUUUGGAUGAAAAGCUGUUUCGCCCUCGAAUAAUUGUUGGUUUCCGAGGGUAACAGUGGCCUUGAGUUUCCUGUCAAUAUUGCUUGCACCUACUGUCAGAAUCCAUGGAGCUUCAUUUGAUAAGGUGCUAUCAUAUGGACCGCUAUUACCGGCAGAGCAACUUACAAGAAUACCUCUUUGUGCUGCACUAUAGGCACUGAGUGCAAUCGGAUCAUUAUAGAAUGGAAUGCUGCUACCACCAAGGGAAAGGGACAGGAUAUCUACUCCAUCAUCAAUAGCUGCAUCUAUGGCAGCUAGAAUGUCACUGUCGGCGCAACCAGAUGAAUCACAGACCUUAUAAAUGGCCAGGUGAGCAAGAGGGGCAAUCCCAACCGCAGUGCCUUCAGCGUUCCCAUACACAUUCGCACCUUUCACAAAACUUCCUGCAGCUGUGCUGGCUGUGUGUGUACCAUGUCCAUCCUCAUCAAUUGGUGAAUCACUGCUUAUUGGGAAAGUCCUCGCACCAAUGAGCUUGUUGUUACACUUUGUUGUGAAGUUCGAUUCACACUUACCCUUCCAUUUAGCAGGCGGAGGAGCCAUUCCUUCGUCGCUAAAUGAAGGAUGGUCAGGUGAAAUCCCGGUGUCUAAAACACCAAUGAUCACACCUUCACCAUAGUUGGAAUCCCUCCACAAGCCAACGUUCUGUUGCAAUCCAAGAAAACUCGGAGUACGUGUAGUGUGCAAAGACAAUUUUCUCUGAGGCCACGCAGAUAUAAAGCCUGGUUUCUUCUCCAUUUCCUUCACCUGCUCAGCUGAUAAUCUUGCUGCAAAGCCUUUCAUCACAUUCUGAUAUGAAUAUAUCAACCGCGGCUUUUCAUCUGAGCCAGCGGUUGCUAUGGUCUUUGGCAAGAAAGAAUUGUACCAGCUCUCCAAAUCCACUCUCGACGAUUGAGUAGAAAUUUGGCUUUCUGGAGAUUCGACUUGAACUAUGUACGUCACCAAAUCGCUCUGCAUACUAGGACAUGAAAAACAAGCAAGUAUAGCAAAAAUAACAAAAAAUAUUUUCAAGAUUCCCAUGGCUGCAAGUGUGGUAUGAAAAAGGAACUAUGAAUUAAUGAUGUACAUUUAGGAAAGUGGAGUUUGAUAUGUUUUACUUUGUGUGUACUACUAUUAUAUAUAGUGUAGUCUGGUCCUGCAGUGGAAGAUUUUUGAAUUGUUUAAUCAAUAGCACUCCUUUUGAUAUUUUUUCCUAGAAAUGGUUGUCACAAUCUUCUUUUUUAAUUAAAAAAAAAAACAUUUUUCCACUUGCAAAGCUGCAUGUUUAACUACCGAUUGGGCUAUUGACAUUGACAUUUAGACUAAAGAUGAGUGUUCCCAUUGAGAACUUUAUUAUAAAAAAGAGGGUACUUUGCUUCGACAAACUUUUUCUAGAAGUUAUUAACACCUUUUUCUUGUUAAAACUAUCCUUAACAGAUCGAUUUCGACUUCCAUGAUAUAGCACUAAUAGUCCUCCAUGCAAAAUUGGUGCACUCUUGGUCCCCAAGCUUUUGCCUAUUUUUUUUUAUUUUACGUUGGUUUUGCCUAUUGGUUUAGUAGAAACAAUAAUUUCAUGUGAGAGAAAGUGAGAUUGAGAAGAAGAGUGCUUCUUAUUUUGUUUAAUCCAAACAUCAUUGCACCUAAACCAAGAACCUACCUUUACUUUUUGGAUAAUCUUUGCAUUUCCCAAACAUUAUAUGCUACAAAAAGUAAUAACAUGAAAUAUCCGAAGUAUGAUAAAAAAAAAAUAAGUUCCAAAUCUCAAUACAUAAAGAGUGAAUAAAUUAAAGGUGAUAAGGUCGAGCCUAACACAUCGGAAUGGAGUAGAGAUAUACAUGUAAAUUAGCAACCUAGCAUCUAAUCUUAACCAAUUUCAUAGUUGGUAUUGUGCUCGUCAAAGUGUGAUGAGUCACUUUGCAUUCACCUCAUUCAUAUGAACAAUGAGUACUCUUCUAUUCGUGUUUUGACUACUGCACUAUUUUGUUGUUUUUGUUUCUUUUUUGUAGGCUUUGCAUUGUUUUCUUUGUUAGUUGCUAUGUUUUCUUCUUCGUUGUAUUUGGAUUUGCUUCUCUUGAGCUGAGGGUCUUUCAGCAACAACCUAUCUGCCUCCACAAGCAAGUGGUAAGGUUUGCGUACACUUUAUAUGAAACUUUUGACACAUGUUCUUGCAUAUAUUCUCAUUUUCUCUGUGUAGAGCUCGCGUAGCUAAAGUGACAUAUAUUAGAUACGCUUUGUGAACAUUUGACGUGUAAAAUGUUGAAGGACAUAUAUAUGUGAAAGAGACUUGACAACAAGUUCAUGUAGUAACAUUUUUGAUAUUGUGAAAAUGUAACAUGAAAAUAUGAUGUGAAUACUUUUGUCACUUACUAUUCAACAGUUUCUAUUGAAACCACUAACAUAGUCUUGUUAUACAUUGUUCCAAUUACUAGAAACCAAUUGUAGGUUGUAGCACAACUGCGAUUGGGCUUCUUACGGAGUACUUCUUACUGCUCCAUUUCAAGAAUCCUUGAGCAAUGCCACUGUUUGUGCUAUUAUCUCUUCUGGUAAACAUCACUUGAUAUUUCAACUUCUGGUUUAACUGGGAGAAUUUCAGAGUAGAGGGCUUAACAAUCACAGUGACUCCGGGUGGGGAAUCUAUUUCCACAGUGUAAGAUGAUUUAGCUUCCCCGACGUUAGUCACUGUUCUUGUAUAUGUCUGAGAACUCUCCCCGAAUUCGAUGGAGAAUGAAGGAUAAUUUAGUUGAGCUUCAGGAAUGUGUUUCACUUUCUUACAAUCCACUUUGUGUUUCACGAUGCUUCCCACCUGUUGAUUUGUGUAAUUCAAACCGCACAGGUAAGGCAGGUAGUCGUCAAAUGGGGUGUCGUAGAUUAGUCCUGGAUCAUUAGCUCUCGAUGGAUUGACAUGUCCUGCACCAAUGGCAAAGAUGUCAGCCGGAAGGAGCCUUUCAUCUAAGAUGGGAACAUUGGCGAGGUUCAGUGUGUUAGCGGUUGUCAUGAUUGCUGAUUUGAUAGCUGAAGGGGACCAAGUGGGGUGUGUGCUUUUAAGCAAUGCUGCUACUCCACUGAGGUGAGGACAAGACAUGGAGGUUCCCUGUAUAAUAUUGAAGGUAGAUUUUGUGUGUUUUACGUAGUCAACGGAGGUAGGCCAAGCAGCAAGAAUGUUAUUACCGGGACCAAUUAUAUCAGGCUUCAAGAUACCAGGAGUAGCUUUGCUAGGUCCGCGAGAAGAAUAUGCAGCAACCACCGGAGCUUCUUUAUCUCCGAUUAUUGUUCCAUGGAACAAAAUUCUUGCAGUUGGUUCUGAUGUUGAGUUCAUGUAUUGAAGGAUCUCCGUUCCGUCAUUGAAUGUAAUAAACAGAGCUGGAAGGACGUGAGGAUCGGCUAACUUGGUGAAACCAAGCUCAGGGAUACUAACAAGAAUCAUACCAACUCCUCCGGCAUCCUUUACAGCUUGUCCUUUUUCAACAUUGCCAGCAUUCCCAAGCUUGCACACAACAAUUUUGCCUUUAAUUUUAGGAUCAUUCAGAGUACCUGGUUCGCAAUAAGGGCUAUAAAAGUUGAGUUUACUCAGUGAAGGAUCAAUCAAAGGGAAAAAAUCCAAAAUGGGAACCUUAGGACUAAAUGCUGAUUCACCCACGAAUAGUUUUUGGUUUCCGAGCAUAACGGUGGCCUUAAGUUCUCUGUCAAUAGUGCUUGCACCUACUGUCAGAAUCCACGGAGCUUCGUUUGAUAUGAUUCCAUUGGAUGGACCAUCAUUACUGGCAGAGCAACUUACAAGAAUACCUCUUUUUGCGGCACUGUAUGCCCCGAGUGCAAUUGGAUCAUCAUAGAAUGACCUGCUAGGUCCACCCAGGGAAAGGGACAGGAUAUCUACUCCAUCAUCAAUAGCUUCAUCCAUGCCAGCUAAAAUGUCAGCAUCGGCGCAACCAAAUUCUUGACAGACCUUAUAAAUGGCCAAGUGAGCAAGAGGGGCAAUCCCAACCGCAGUGCCUUUAGCGUUCCCAUACACAUUGGCACCUUUCACAAAAUUUCCUGCAGCUGUGCUGGAGGUGUGUGUGCCAUGUCCAUCAUCAUCUAUUGGCGAAUGUUUGUCGUCUAUGUAGGACCUUGCGCCAAUGAGCUUGUUGUUACACUUUGCAGUGAAAUUCGAAUCACACUUUCCCUUCCAUUUAGCAGGUGGAGGAGGCAUUCCUUCGUCGCUAAAUGAAGGAUGGUCAGGGGUAACCCCGGUGUCCAAGACUCCAAUGAUCACACCUUUUCCAUAUUUGUCAUCCCUCCACAAGCCAACGUUCUGUUGCAAUUGAAGAAAACUCGGAGUAUGGGUAGUGUGCAAGGACAAUAUCCUCUGAGGCCACGCAGAUAUAAAACCUGGUUUCUUCUCCAUUUCCUUCACUUGCUUCGCUGACAAUCUAGCAGCAAAGCCUAUGAUAACAUUAUGAUAUGAAUAUAUCAACCGUGGCUUUUCCUCUGAGUCAGCGGUUUCUAUGGUCUUUGGCAAGAAAGAUUUGUACCAGCUCUCCAAAUCCAUUCUUGACGAUUGAGUGGAAAUUUGGCUUUCUGGUGAUUCGACUUGAACUAUGUACGUCUCCAAAUCGCUCUGCAUACUAGGACAUGAAAAACAAGCAAGUAUAGCAAAAAUAACAAAAAAUAUUUUCAUUGUUGCAAAUGUGUUGAACUAAUGAUGUACACUUAGGAAAGUGGAGUUUGAUAUUUUUGCAUUAUGUAUACUACUAGUACUUAUAGUGAGCUCUGGCCUUGCAAAUAUUUGAUUGUUUAAUAAAGUAGUAUUGUGUGUUUAAGGAACUAAAGUUGAAGCAGUAAUUAAGAAAGUAAUAAAAAGGAAAGGAUGGUGAUGUGAAUUAGUUAGUCUAAUUGAACAUUUUCCUAGAAAUGAUUAGUGUUAAUGACCAUGUAUCAAAACUUGAUUCUCAUAAACUACUUCUUAAUUAAGAACAAAUCUCCACUUGCAAAGCUAUAAGUUUUACUACAUUUGGCCUAUUGACAGUUUGAUGAAUGAUGAUUGUUUUCAUUGAGAACUUAAGUUCUUUUUUGGUAAUUUGAUUUGACAUACCUGGCCUAGAACCUUUUACUUGUUAAAGCGGUGAAUCGAUUUUGAUUUUAUUGAUCACAUUGUCCUGUUGUCUUAAUCGAUAAACACCCUUUUUGGAAUGUCAGUUAGCAGACAAUUUGACACUAAUUGCACGCUUUCCUAGAAAUCAUUAAUAUUAAUGACCAUACGCAAAAACCUUGAUUCUCAUAAACUUCUUCUUAAUUAAGAACAAAUUUGUAUUUGCAACGCAACAAGUUUAACUGAAUAUUGGGCUAUUGACAUUGACAUUUUGAUGAAUGAUGACUGUUUCCAUUGAGAUUUUUUUGAAAAAUAAAUUGGUAAUUUUCUUCGAGUGAAGUUGAGAAGAGAAUUUUGGACAAAGAGUGACUUGAAAGUUAUCUGAAUAAGACAUAUUUCCAUUAGUAUCGCCAUACCAAGACCUGCAAGUCAUUGUAACCAUGCCGAAAGGUAUAAUUAGCUAUUUAAAACUCUUAGUCAUCCUUUGAAAACCAAAGACACAUUUAUGUUAAAACAUUAUGUUCAAUACCAUCAUCCAAGUCUUUCCUAGUUACAAGACAACAUAAAAAUGCAAUAUCAUUAACAAUCAACGGGGACAGAAACAUUAUCCUUCGCUCAUUAUUUUAAACUGAAGCUUUGAAAGACUCAUAGAUUCCCAAAUUCAUUAUUUAUACUGAAAAACCCUUUUCAAAAUCAUAUGAGGCAAUUCACAAACCAAUAAUCCAAGUUCUGAAAUCAUAAUAAAGUAAUUUGAACAUAAUUAAUAAGAAAGGAAUAUUUGUAAUCAAUUUUCAUGAAAUCAUCUCUCGACCCUAACCUCAUUUCAUAAAGAAAAUACGAAUAAUAAAAUAUGAGUCUUGUAUGAGUAGUUUGAAGUAGGCAGUGUUUAUAAAGCUAUCAAUAGUUGGAGGACUAAAGUAAUAAUUCACGCCAAGUUUAGGGGUGUUUUCAAUACUUAUCUCUUAAAAAUUCAGAGGUUAAACUAUGUAUUCAGCCUUUAUAGAACUUACAAGAACAAUUUUGGAACUAUCACUAUUUGAACUAGUUUAUGUAAAGUUUGCUGCCAUGUGACCAGAAGGUCACGGGUUUGAGUCAUGGAAAUAGCCCCUUGCAGAAAUGCACGACAAAGCUGCGUACAAUAGAUCCUUCUACUCCGUCUCUUUUCCAGACUCGCUCAUAGAGAGAGCUUAGUGCACCAAGCUGCCCUUUUAGGGGUACUAAUUCAUGUAGUAACAUUUUUGAAAUUGUGAAACUGAGUACUUUUGUCUCAUAGUAUUCACUGCUUUCUAUUGAAACCAACAACCAGAGUCUUGUUAUACAUUCUUCCAAUUACUAAAAAAAUGAGAAGAAAUAUAAAACUAGAAACCAAUUGUAGGCUGUAGGAUAACUGCAAUUGGGCUUCUUACUACUCCAUUUCAAGAAUCCUUGACUAAUACCACUAUUUGUGCUAUUAUCUCUUCUCGUAAACGUCACUUGGUAUUACAACUUCUGGUUACUUGGAGAAUUUUAGAGUAGAGGGCUUAACAAUAACAGUGACUCCGGAUGGGGAAUCUAUUUCCACAGUGUAAGAUGAUUUAGCUUCCCUGACGUUAGUCACUGUUCUUGUAUAUGUCUGAGAACUCUCCCCGAAUUUGAUGGAGAAUGAAGGAUAAUUUAAUUGAGCUUCAGGAAUGUGUUUUACUUUUUUACAAUUCACUUUGUGUUGCACGAUGCUUCCCACCUGUUGAUUUGUGUAAUUCAAAUCGCACAGGUAAGGCAGGUAGUCUUUUAACAAGGUGUCGUAGAUUAGUCCUGGAUCAUUAGCUCUUGAUGGAUUGACAUGUCCUGCACCAAUGGCAAAGAUGUUAGCCGGAAGGAGCCUUUCAUCUAAGAAAGGAUCAUUGGCGACGUUCAGUGUGUUAGCGGUUGUCAUGAUUGCUGAUUUGAUAGCUGCAGGGGACCAAGUCGGGUGUGUACUUUUCAACGAUGUUGCUACUCCACUGAGGUGAGGACAAGACAUGGAGGUGCCUGAUAGAAUAUUGAAGGUAGAUUUUGUGUGUUUGUUGUAGUCAACGGAGGUAGGCCAAGCAGCAAGAAUAUUAAGACCGGGACCAAUUAUAUCAGGCUUCAAGAUACCAGGACUAGCGUAGCUUGGUCCACGAGCAGAAAAUACAGCAACCACAGGGGAAUCUUUAUCUCCGAUUAUUGAUCCUUGGAAUGAAAUUCUUGCAAUUGGUUUAAUUGUGGAGUUCAUGUAGUCAAGAAUUUCAAUUCCGUCUUUGUAUGUAAUAAACAGAGCUGGAAGGACGUGAGCAUCAGCAGACGUAGUGAAACCAUACUCAGGGAAACUAUAGAUAAUCAUGGCAAUACCUCCGGCAUCCUUUACAGCUUGUCCUUUAUCCCUUAUAAAUGGCCAGGUGAUCUAGAGGGGCAAUACCAACCGCAGUGCCUUUAGCGUUCCCAUAUACAUUGGCACCUUUCACAAAACUUCCUGCAGCUAUGCUGGAGGUGUGUGUGCCAUGUCCGUCAUUAUCUAUCGGUGAAUCACUGCUUAUUGGAAAAUUCCUUGCACCAAUGAGCUUGUUGUUACACUUUUUAGUGAAAUUCAAUUCACACUUGCCCUUCCAUUUAGCAGGCGGAGGAGGCAUUCCUUCGUCACUAAAUGAAGGAUGGUCAGGGGUAAUCCCGGUGUCUAAGACUCCAAUGAUCACACCUUUUCCAUAGUUGGCAUCCCUCCACAAGCCAACGUUCUGAUGCAGUCCAAGAAAAUUCGGAGUAUGGGUAGUGUUCAAGGACAAUAUCCUCUGAGGCCACGCAGAUAUAAAGCCUGGUUUCUUCUCCAUUUCCUUCACCUGUUUCGCUGACAAUCUUGCAGCGAAGCCUAUGAUAACAUUAUGAUACGAAUAUAUCAACCAUGGAUUUCCAUCUGAGUCAGCAGUUUCUAUGGUCUUUGGCAUGAAAGACUUGUACCCGCUCUCCAAAUCCAUUCUUGAUGAUCGAGUGGAAAUUUGGCUUUCUGGAGAUUCGACUUGAACUAUGUACAUCUCCAAAUCGUUCUGCAUACUAGGGCAUGAAAAACAAGCAAGUAUAGCAAAAAUAACAAAAAAUAUUUUCAUUGUUGCAAAUGUGUUGGGAGUUUGAUGUUUUUGCAUUAUGUGUACUACUAGUAUUUGUACUGUGCUCUGGCCUUGGAAAUAUAUGAUUGUUUAAUAAAGUAUUAUUCUGUGAUAAAAGAACUAAAGUUGAAGGAGCAAUUAAGAAAGAAAUUAGUUAGUCAAAUUGAACCUUUUCCUAGAAAUGAUUAGUGUUAAUGACCACAUCUCAGAGCUUAAUUCUCAUAAACUUCUUCUUAAUUAAGAACAACUGUCUACUUGCAAAGCUGUAAGUUUAACUAUAUUUGGUUUAUUGACAUUUUAGUGAAUUUAAAAUUCUUUUUGGUAAUUUGAUUUGACAAACUUGCUCUAGAAGCUUUUAACAUCUUUUACUUGUUAAAGCGGUUAAUCGAUUUUUAUUUUGAUGACCAUCGUCCUGUUGUCUUAAUCGACUUAACACCCUUUCUGGAAUGUUAGUUAGAAUGCGGUUUGGCACUAAUUGCACGUUUUCCUAGAUAUGAUUAGUAUUAAUGACAAUAUGCCAAAGCUUAAUUCUCAUAAACUUCUUAAUUAAGAACAUAUUUGCAAAGCUACAAGUUUAACUAAAUAUUGGGCUGUUGACAUUGACAUUUUGAUGAAUGAUACUGUUUCCAUUGAGAUUUUUUAAAAAUAUUUUUGGUAAUUUGCUUUGAUCCUUUGAUAAACCUUCUCUAGAAGUUAUUAAUGCCUUUAACUUGUCAAAACUAUCCUUUGCAGAUUGGAUUCGACUUUCAUAAUCACCAUUCUUUUGUCUUAAUCGAUCAACACCCUUUGUGGAAUGUAUACUUAUAAAGAAACUGCCUUCAUUUUCAAGAUUCGGACCAAGAAAAAGAUCCAAAGGGUUGUGGUAAGUCCUUCUUCAUCUUAAGUAAGAGGUCACGGGUUCGAGUUCUGAUUAUGGAGUAGCCUUUAUUAGAAAGCGCAAUACAAAUUUGGAUUAAGAGGGAUCCUAAUACGGGUAGCGGAAGCUGGAUGGGAAAAAAAGAGAAGAGAGAACAAAAAUUGAAAUGAUAAUUAUUUCCCAAAAACAUAAAAUAUGUAAAAGUUGGACUUGUGUCAUCCAUAUGAAGUUUCUGACACAAUUUUUUUUUUGCAUUCGCUCUCCUUUUUUUUAUGUGUAGAAUGUGCGAGUGUCGCGUAGCUUAAGUGGUGCAUAUUAGAUACACUUUGUGAAACGUUUGACGUAUAAAGUGAUGCUCGUGAAAGAGGGAUAUGUCAAAGAGAUUUGACAACAAGCUCAGGUGUUAAGCUAUGUCUUCAGCCUUUAUAGAACUGCAGGGUAAGGCUGCAUAUAUAUACGAUAGUUCCUGUAGUCCGGUCCUUCCCUAGACUCACACAUAGCGGAGACUUAGUGUACCAAGCUGCCCUUUAAUGUAACAAAUUAUUCAAUGGUUUUUAUUGAAACCACGAACAUAUAGUCUUGUCAUACAUUGUUCCAAUUACUAAAAUGAGAAGAAAUAUAAAACUAAAAACCAAUUGUAGGUUGUAGCACAACUGCAAUUGGGCUUCUUACAGAGUACUUCUUCCAACUCCAUUUCAAGAAUCCUUGAGCAAUACCACUGUUUGUGCUAUUAUCUCUUCUCGUAAACGUCACUUGGUAUUUCAACUUUUGGUUCAACUGGGAGAAUUUCAGAGUAGAGGGCUUAACAAUCACAGUGACUCCGGGUGGGGAAUCUAUUUCCACACUGUAAGAUGAAUUAGCUUCCCCGAUGUUAGUCACUGUUCUUGUAUAUGUCUGAGAACUCUCCCCAAAUUUGAUGGAGAAUGAAGGAUAGUUUAGUUGAGCUUCAGGAAUGUGUUUCACUUUGUUACAAUCCACUUUGUGUUUAACGAUGCUUCCCACCUGUUGAUUUGUGUAAUUCAAACCGCACAGGUAAGGCAGGUAGUCCUUAACUGGGGUGUCGUAGAUUAGUCCUGGAUCAUUAGCUCUCGAUGGAUUGACAUGUCCUGCACCAAUGGCAAAGAUGUCAGCCGGAAGGAGCCUUUCAUCUAAGAUGGGAACAUUGGCGAGGUUCAGUGUGUUAGCGGUUGUCAUGAUUGCUGAUUUGAUAGCUGAAGGGGACCAAGUGGGGUGUGCGCUUUUCAGCAAUGCUGCUACUCCACUGAGGUGAGGACAAGACAUGGAGGUGCCCUGUAUAAUAUUGAAGGUAGCUUUUGUGUGUUUGUCGUAGUCAACAGAGGUAGGCCAAGCAGCAAGAAUGUUAUUACCGGGACCAAUUAUAUCAGGCUUCAAGAUUCCAGGACUAGCUAAGCUUGGUCCGCGAGAAGAAUAUGCAGCAACUACCGGAGCUUCUUUAUCUCCGAUUAUUGUGCCAUGGAACAAAAUUCUUGCAGUUGGUUCUGAUGUUGAGUUCAUGUAGUCAAGAAUUUCCAUUCCGUCUUGGUAUGUAAUAGACAGAGCUGGAAGGACGUGAGGAUCGGAAAAGGUAGUGAAACCAUACUUUUGGAUAUUAUAGACAAUCAUGCCAACACCUCCGGCAUCCUUUACAGCUUGUCCUUUUUCAACCGGUGCAACAUUCCCUAACUUGCACAUAACAAUUUUGCCUUUAAUUUUAGGAUCAUUCAGAGUACCUGGUUUGCAAUAAGGGCUAUAAAAGUUGAGUUUACUCAGUGAAGGAUCAAUCAAAGGGAAAAAUUCCAAAAUGGGAACCUUAGGACUAAAUGCUGAUUCACCCUCGAAUAGUUUUUGGUUUCCGAUCAUAACAGUGGCCUUAAGUUCCCUGUCAAUAGUGCUUGCACCUACGGUCAGAAUCCAUGGAGCUUCGUUUGAUAAAGUGCUAUCGGAUGGACCACCAUUACCCGCAGAGCAACUUACAAGAAUACCUCUUUUUGCUGCACUGUAUGCCCCGAGUGCAAUUGCAUCAUCAUAGAAUGACCUGCUAGCUCCACCCAGGGAAAGGGACAUGAUAUCUACUCCAUCAUCAAUUGCUUCAUCCAUGCCAGCUAAAACGUCACUUUCCAAGCAUCCAUCAGUACAGACCUUAUAAAUGGCCAGGUGAGCAUGAGGGGCAAUCCCAACUGCAGUGCCUUUAGCGUUCCCAUAUACAUUGGCACCUUUCACAAAAUUUCCUGCAGCUGUGCUUGAGGUGUGUGUGCCAUGUCCAUCAUCAUCUAUUGGCGAAUGUUUGUCUUCUAUGUAGGACCUUGCGCCAAUGAGCUUGUUGUUACACUUUGCAGUGAAGUUCGAUUCACACUUGCCCUUCCAUUUAGCUGGUGGAGGAGGCAUUCCUUCGUCGCUAAAUGAAGGAUGGUCAGGGGUAACCCCGGAGUCCAAUAAUCCAAUGAUCACACCUUCUCCAUAGUUUUCAUCCCUCCACAAGCCAACGUUCUGUUGCAAUCCAAGAAAACUCGGAGUAUGUGUAGUGUGCAAGGACAAUAUCCUCUGAGACCUCGCAGAUAUAAAACCUGGUUUCUUCUCCAUUUCCUUGACCUGCUGCGCUGACAAUCUAGCAGCAAAGCCUAUUAUAACAUUCUGAUAUGAAUAUAUCAACCGUGGCUUUUCAUCUGAACCAGCGGCUUCUAUGGUCUUUGGCAUGAAAGACUUGUACCAGCUCUCAAAAUCCAUUCUUGACGGUUGAGUGGAUAUUUGGCUUUCUGGUGAUUCGACUUGAACUAUGUAAGUCUCCAAAUCGCUCUGCAUACUAGGACAUGAAAAACAAGCAAGUAUAGCAAAAAUAACAAAAAAUAUUUUCAUUGUUGCAAAUGUGUUGAACUAAUGAUGUACACUUAGGAAAGUUGAGUUUGAUGUUUUUGCAUUGUGAGUACUACUAGUAUUUAUAGUGUACUCUGGCCUUGCAAAUAUUUGAUUGUUUAAUAAAGUAUUAUUGUGUGUUAAAAGAAGGAAAGUUGAAGGAGCAAUUAAGAAAGAAAUAAGAAGGAAAAGAUGGGAAUGUGAAUUAGUUAGUCUAAUUGAACAUUUUCCUAGAAAUAAUUAGUGUUAAUGACCAUGUAGCAAAGCUUAAUUCUCAUAAACUACUUCUUAAUUAAGAACAAAUGUCCACUUGUAAAGCUGAUAGUUUAACUACAUUUGGGGUAUUGCCAAUUUGAUUAAUGGUGAUUGUUUUAAUUAAGAACUUCUAAUUCUGGUAAUUUGAUUUGACAAACAUGCUCCAGAAGCCUUCAAUAUCUUUUACUUGUUAAAUCAGUUAUCGAUUAUCAUUUUAAUGACCAUUAUCUUGUUGUCUUAAUCAACAAACACCCUUUAUAGAAUGUUAGUUAGAACGCGGUUUGGUACUAAUUGCACGUUUUCCUAAUAAUGAUUAGUAUUAAUGACCAUACGCCAAAGCUUGAUUCUCAUAAUCUUCUUAAUUAAGAAACGAAUUUGUAUUUGCAAAGCUACUCUAGAAGUUACUAACACCUUUUACUUGUCAAAACAGUCCUUAGAGGAUCGGAUUCAGCUUUUAUGAUGACCGUCCUUUUGUCUUAGUCGAUCAACACCCUUUAUGGAAUGUAAAUUAGUACACAGUUUGGCAUUAAGAUAUGUGAAUUUCAGAUGGAAAUUUGUGAGAAAGGUCUAUUGGGAUUUCCGAGGGAAGGUCCAUUGGAAAAUCACUUAACAUUUUUUUUUUGAAUCCUCUUAGUGAAAAUUCUGAUUUCGCCAUUGAUUCACACGGUGGUGAUGACCAAAAGUGGAGUUAAGAUUUCAAUUUUAUAGAUUGUGUGUUUUAAAAGGACGACUUCAAUAGCUAAAAACUAGGUUCUAAAUAACAAGUUUUACAAAUAUAUUGUUGGACCAAAAGCUACUAGAUCGAAUCCGUAUUUGAGCUUCUACCUCUGCCCUUGGCGAUGGGUUCGGUUCUAUACAAAACUAGGAAGAACCCUUACAUCCCCUUUAUAUAUACCUCACUUUAAAAAGUUAUACUAAGAGUUUGCCUUCAUUUUCAACAAUUUGUUUUGCAUUCACUCUCCUUUUUAUGUAUAGAACGUGUGAGCGUCAUGUAGCUUAAGUGGUGUAUACUAGAUACACUUCGUGAAAUGUUUGGUGUGUAAAGUGAUACCCGUGAAGGAGGGAUAUGUCAGAGAGAUUUAAUUACAAGCUCAGGGGUUAAACUAUGUAUUCAGUAAUUUUGGAAUUAGAACUAUUUGUACUAAUUCAUGUAAAGUUGCUGCUUUUUUGACCAGGAGUUCACGGGUUAGAGCCAUGGAGAAAGCCCCUUGUAGAAAUGAAUGAUAAGACUGCGUACAAUAGAUCCUUGUGGUCCGGCCCUUCCCUAGACUCUCAUAUAGAGAGGGCUUAGUGCGCUGAGCUGCCCUUUUCUUGGUACAAAUUCAUGUAGUACUUAACAUUUUGAUAUUGUGAAACUCGUACAAGUGAUGAAAAUGUAACUUGUGAAUACUUUGUCACUUAUUAUUCAACAUCUAUUGGAACCACUAACAUAAUACAUUGUUUCAAUUACUAAAAUCAGAAUACAGAAACAUAAAACUAGAAACCAAUUGUAGACUCUAGCAUAACAGCAAUUGGGCUUCUUACUGAGUGCUUCUUACUAGUCCAUUUCAAGAAUCCUUGAAUAACACCGCCGUUUGUACUGUUGACUCUUUUCGUAAACGUCACUUGGUAUUUCAACUUCUGGUUCAACUUGGAGAAUUUCAUAGUAGAAGGCUUGACAAUCACGGAAACUCCGGGUGGUGAAGCUACUUCCACACUGUAAGAUGACUUAGCUUCCCCGACGUUAGUCACAGUUCUUGUAUAUGUCUGAGAAACUUCUCCGAAUGUGAUGGAGAAUGAAGGAUAAUUUAGUUGUGCUUCAGGAAUGCUUUUCACUUCCCUACAAUCCACUUUGCGUUGAAGGAGGUUGCCCACCUGUCGAUUUGUGUAAUUCAAACCACACAGGUAAGGCAGGUAGUCCUUAAAUUGGGUGUCGUAGAUUAGCCCUGGAUCAUUAGCUCUUGAUGGAUUGACAUGUCCUGCACCAAUAGCAAAGAUGUUAGCCGGAAGGAGCCUUUCAUCUAAGAUGGGAUCAUUGGCGAAGUUCACUGUGUAAGCGGUUGUCAUGAUUGCUGAUUUGAUAGCUGAAGGGGACCAAGUGGGGUGUUUGCUUUUCAGCAAUGCUGCUACUCCACUGAGGUGAGGACAAGACAUGGAGGUGCCUGAUAUAAUGUUGAACGUAGACUUUGUGUUUGUUUUGUUUUCAACGGAGGUAGGCCAAGCAGCAAUAAUGUUUACACCGGGACCAAUAAUAUCUGGUUUCAAGAUUCCAGGACUAGCGUAGCUUGGUCCACGAGAAGAAAAUGCAGCAACCACUGGAGCAUCUUUAUCUCCGAUUAUUGUUCCUUGGAACAAAAUUUUUGCUGUUGGUUUUGAUGUUGUGUUCAUGUAGUCAAGAAUUUCCAUUCCGUCUUUGUAGGUAAUAUACAGAGCUGGAAGGACGUGAGCUUCGGCAAACAUAGUGAAACCAUAAUCAGCUGUACUAACGACAAUCAUACCAACACCUCCUGCAUCUUUUACGGCUUGUCCUUUUUGAGUCAUGGAAUAACCACCCCCUACCAUGCACACAACAAUUUUUCCUUUAAUUUCAGGGUCAUUCAGAGUACCACUUCCGCAAUAAGGGCUAUCAAAGUCAGUUGCAUUCAGUGAAGGAUCAAACAAAGGGGAAAAUGCUGAAUUGUGAUCAUUUGGAUGAAAUGCUGAUUCACCCUCGAAUACUUUUUGGUUUCCGAGUGUAACAGUGGCCUUGAGUUUCCUGUCAAGAGUGCUUGCACCUACUGUCAUAAUCCACGGAGCAUCGUUUGAUAAGGUGCUUUCAUAUGGACCAUUAUUAGCGGCAGAGCAACUUACAAGAAUACCUCUUUGUGCUGCACUGUACGCCCCGAGUGCAAUGGGGUCUUCAUAGAAUGACCUGCUACUUCCACCAAGGGAAAUAGAUAGGAUAUCUACUCCAUCAUCAAUAGCUGCAUCCAUGGCAGCUAGAAUGUCACUGUCAGCGCAACCAAACGGUUGACAGACCUUAUACAUGGCCAGGUGAGCAAGCGGGGCAAUCCCAACAGCAGUGCCUUUAGCAUAACCAUUCACAUUGGCACCUUUCACAAAACCACCAGCAGCUGUGCUGGCGGUGUGUGUACCAUGUCCAAAAUCAUCUAUCGGUGAAUCACUGCCUAAUGGGAAAGUCCUCGCACCAAUGAGCUUGUUGUUACACUUUUUAGUGAAAUUCAAUCACACUUGCCCUUCCAUUUAGCAGGCGGAGGAGGCAUUCCUUUGUCGCUAAAUGAAGGAUGGUCAGGGGCAAUCCCGGUGUCCAAGACUCCAAUGAUCACACCUUUUCCAUAAUUAGCAUCCCUCCACAAGCCAAUGUUCUGUUGCAAUCCAAGAAAACUCGGAGUAUGUGUAGUGUGCAAAGACAAUAUCCUCUGAGGCAACGCAGAUAUAAAGCCCUGUUUCUUCUCCAUUUCUUUCACUUGCUUCACUGACAAUCUUGCAGCAAAGCCUAUGAUCACAUUGUGAUAUGAAUAUAUCAACCGCGGCUUUUCAUCAGAGCCAGCAGUUGCUAUGGUAUUUGGCAAGAAAGACUUGUACCAGCUCUCCAAAUCCAUUCUUGACGAUUGAGUGGAAAUUUGGCUUUCUGGAGAUUCGACUUGUACUAUGUACGUCUCCAAAUCGCUCUGCAUACUAGGCCAUGAAAAACAACCAAGUAUACCAAAAAUAACAAAAAAUAUUUUCAUGGCUAGCUGCCAAUUUGUUGGGAGAAUGGAACUUUGAACUAGUAAAAGUGGAGUUUGAUAUUUUUGCAUUAGUGUACAACCUGUAUAUAUAGUGUGUUCUGGCCUUGCAAAUAUUUGAUUGUUUAAUCAAGAGCAUCCCUCUUGUUAAUUAAAGUAAGGAAAAGAGUCUGAUAUACCUCUCAAUUUUGCGACUUAGAGCUGAAUAUACCUCUCAUAUUUUGUGUUGGUCUUUAAUUAUUACUCUCAAGGUAAAUAAUUUUUUUGCGAGGCAUAAGUUUAUACUUUUGCAUCAUAAUAUCUCACAACUUAUGUCUCGUUAGACAUAAGUUCGAUUCCUAAAGGAAAAAAAUUAAAGAACAACAAAUUGAAGGUGCAAGACUUGGUAAACUCCCAAUGGAAGUUUUUUGAAUUGUUUAACCAUUACCACUACUCUUGUUAAUUAAAGUAUUAGUAAUUAUUGUAUGAUAUAAAAGGGAGAAUCAAAGAACUAAAGUUGAAGUAACAAUUUAAAAAGAAGAGAAAAAAGGGAAAGGAUGGUAAUGUGAAUUAAUUAAUUAAAUUAAACAAGUUCCAAGAAAAGAUUAGUCUUAAUGACCACAUGGCAAAGCUUGAUUCUCAUAAUCAUCUUCUUAAUUAUGAACAAUUUUCUACUUGCAAAGCUGUAAGUUAAACUACACUUGGACUAUUGACAAUGACAAUUUGAUGAAUAAUGAAUGUUCUCAUUUAAUGAGAACUUAAAAAAAAUGAUAAUUUACUUUGACAAACCUUAUCUAGAAGUUAUUAGCACUCUAUCUUGUCAAAACUAUUUUUAGUGACUCAAUUCCGACUUUCAUGAUCACUAUCCUGCUCUGCUAUCUUAAUUAACCAACACCCUUUGUCGAAUGUAAACUAGUCCAUUUUGGCAUUAAAAACACAACAAAUUUUCGACAAAAGUUUCCGAAGGACAUUCGUCAAAAAUGUGGAAUUUCCGAUGGAUUCCCUCCAAAAUUUUCGUCGAAAAUUCAAAUGUUUUCAAUUGUUAGUUAAGUUGGUUUGGACAAAUUAAAGAGUGAGUUGAAAGUAUUUUAUUUUCUUGUGAAUUAGUAGUGAUGAAGAGGUGAUCUUAUGAGUAGAUCUCAAAACAAAGACAUGUGAUGUUAGUUUGAAAUUCUAUUAGAAGAGAGAAUGGCGCCGGGAUACACUAAUUAUUUGCAAUACAAUGUGCCAAGUUGACAAAUUUGACAAAAAAAAUAAUAUUUUAUGUUGAAGUGAGUGAGCACUGGGGGUGGGGGGAUCUGGCUCUCUAGCUAAUUGUUGAACCGAAAAAAUGAGUUGGAAAGAAGUGGAACGAAAGCAAACAAGUGAAGACCAAAAGAGACAGAUAAUACGUGGGAGAUUAUUCAGUUUAACAUAAAGAAGUGGGACGAAAGCAAACAAGUAAAGACUAAAAGAGAUAGAUAAGACGUAGGAGAUUAUUCGGUUUAACAUAAAGUAGUAGGAUGAAAGCAAACAAAUAAAGACAAAAAGAGACAAAUAAGACGUUGGAGAUUAUCUAGUUUGACAAAAAAAGACUAUGUUGUAACUUGUAACUAUUCAAGCAUUUCAAAGUCUAUCACUACUGAUGAACUUGAAAAAAUAUGGAAUCGGGCGGAUGCCUUAGAUCAAUAGGGCAAAUAGCGUAGUUAUCAUUAUUUUUUUUUAAAUUAUCAAUGACUUAUUAUCAAUUUUAUAUCUUUUUUCUAAACAAGUCGUUAUUUAUUUAUAAAAUCAGUUUCACAUAUUGCACACCCAUUUCUGAGGCCGAGAAAGCGGCACUCUCAACAGAAUUUUUCAACACUUGGUGUCUAGGACUCAUUCGUAGGGACAACAUUUUCAAUAGAAUUUUUUUCAACCAUUCCACCACAGCUCAAGUUAGUGUAUGUCUGCCAUUAUUAACACACCUGGGAUAUAAAUUAAGCAAUAAGAUGUUGACCAUAUUGAAGUUUUUACUAUUUUAUUUGUCCUUAUUUUUUCUAAUUCUCAAAAUAUCUUUUCUACAACAAAAUUUCUAAUUUCCUCUCUGUUGUUCAUCCUUUACCUUACAAAAAUACUUUUAAAAUUAUCUUCACUUAUUUGUUUUCGUUUUUACUCUUUUCCAACUCAUUUCUUCGAUUCAACAAUUAGGCAACGAGCUAGCGAACCUCCCCCCUCCCCCCCCCAACAUGUGAUAAGACUUUCACAUUAUCAUCACAUGUCUUUGUAUUGACUAUGAAAAUUGAAAGGAAAUUGCUUUGAGAUCCACUCAUAAGAUCACUACUAAUAAUUGACAAGAUAAUAAAAUACUUUGAAUCCCCUCUUUUAAUUUGUCCAAAAAAAACUUAACCAACAACUAAAAACACGCGAUUUUUAGACAAAAAUUACCUAAGGAAAUUAACUACGUGCUGAUUUACAUUUCACAAAGGGUGUUGGUCGAUAAAGACAACAGGACAUUGGUCAUAAAAGUCGAAAUCGAUCCUCUAAGGAUAAUUUUAACAAGAAAAAAGAUGUUACAUAACAAAUUCUAGAGAAGGUUGUCAAUGGAAACAGUCAUCAUUCAUCAAGUUGUAAAUGUAAAUAGCCGAACAUGUAGUUAAAACUUACAGCUUUGCAAGUGGACAUUUGUUCUUAAUUAAGAACAUUAUGAGAUCAAGCUUUGCCAUGUGGUCAUUAAUACUAAUCCUUUCUAGGAAAGCAAUUAAUUAGACUAAUUAACAAGAGGGGUCCUACUGAUAAAACAAGAUUAUCAAUCAAAUUAAACUGAAGGGCCAGAGUAGUACUACAUAUACUCCACUUUUCUAUGUGUACAUCAUUCAUCAGUUCAAAUUUCCUUUCUCUCAACACAUUUGCAGCCAUGAAAAUAUUUUUUGUUAUUUUUGGUAUACUUGCUUGUUUUUCAUGGCCUAGUAUGCAGAGCGAUUUGGAGACGUACAUAGUUCAAGUCGAAUCACCAGAAAGUCAAAUUUCCACUCAAUCGUCAAGAAUGGAUUUGGAGAGCUGGUACAAGUCUUUCUUGCCAAAGACCAUAGAAACCGCUGGCUUAGAUGAAAAGCCGCAGUUGAUAUAUUCAUAUCACAAUGUGAUAAUAGGUUUUGCUGCAAGAUUGUCAGCAAAGCAAGUGAAGGAAAUUGAGAUGACACCGGGAUUUAUAUCUGCGUGGCAACAGAGGAUAUUGUUUCCACACACUACACAUACUCCGAGUUUUCUUGGUUUGCAACAGAACAUUGGCUUGUGGAGGGAUGCCAACUAUGGAAAAGGUGUGAUCAUUGGAGUCUUGGACACCGGGAUUUCACCUGACCAUCCUUCAUUUAGCGACAAAGGAAUGCCUCCUCCGCCUGCUAAAUGGAAGGGAAAGUGUGAAUCGAACUUCACUACAAAGUGCAACAACAAGCUCAUUGGCGCGAGGACUUUCCUAAACAGUGAUUCACUGAUAGAUGAUGUUGGACAUGGAACACACACCGCCAGCACAGCUGCUGGGGGUUUUGUGAAAGGUGCUAAUGUGUAUGGUAAUGCUAAUGGUACCGCGGUUGGGAUUGCCCCUCUUGCUCACUUGGCCAUUUAUAAGGUCUGUGAUUCGUUUGGUUGCUCCGACAGUGACGUUCUAGCUGCCAUGGAUGCAGCUAUUGAUGAUGGAGUAGAUAUCCUAUCUAUUUCCCUUGGUGGAAACAGAAAGUUGUUCUACGAAGACCCCAUUGCACUCGGGGCAUACAGUGCAACAAAAAGAGGUAUUCUUGUAAGUUGUUCUGCUGGUAAUGAGGGUCCAUACGAAAGCACCUUAUCAAAUGAAGCUCCGUGGAUUCUGACAGUAGGGGCAAGCUCUAUUGACAGGAAACUCAAAGCCACUGUCAAGCUCGGAAACCAAAAAAUACUCGAGGGGGAAUCAGCAUUUCAUCCAAAGGGUCACAAUUCGAUAUUUUCCCCUUUGUAUGAUCCUUCACGGAAUGAAACAGACUUUGACAGCCUUUAUUGCGGACCAGGUACACUUAGUGACUCUGAAAUUAAAGGCAAAAUUGUUGUUUGUUCGGCAGGUGGUGGUUAUUCCAGGAUUGAUAAAGGACAAGCUGUAAAGGAUGCCGGAGGUGUUGGUAUGAUCAUCUUUAAUACCGCUGAUGAUGGUUUCACUAAGUUUUCUGAUCCUCAUGUCCUUCCAGCUCUGCAUAUUACCUACAAAGAUGGACUAGAAAUUCUUGACUACAUGAACUCAACGUCGAAACCAAUUGCAAGAAUUGCAUUUCAAGGAACAAUAAUCGGAGAUAAAGAUGCUCCAGUGAUUGCUGCAUUUUCUUCUCGCGGACCAAACAUAGCUAGUCCUGGAAUCUUGAAGCCUGAUAUUAUUGGUCCCGGUCUUAACAUUCUUGCUGCUUGGCCUACCUCCAUUGACAACAAAAAGAACACAAAAUCUACCUUCAACAUUAUAUCAGGCACCUCCAUGUCUUGUCCUCACCUCAGCGGAGUAGCAGCAUUGCUGAAAGGCACACACCCGACUUGGUCCCCUGCAGCUAUCAAAUCAGCAAUCAUGACAACUGCUUACACAGUGAACUUCGCCAGCGAUCCCAUCUUAGAUGAAAGGCUCCUUCCGGCUAACAUCUUUGCCAUUGGUGCAGGACAUGUCAAUCCAUCAAAAGCUAAUGAUCCAGGACUGAUCUACGACACUCAUUUUAAGGACUACUUGCCUUACCUGUGCGGUUUGAAUUACACAAAUCGUCAGGUGGGAAACCUUAUGCAACGCAAAGUGGAUUGUAGGUCAGUGAAACACAUUCCUGAAGCACAACUAAAUUAUCCGUCAUUCUCCAUCACACUUGGAGACAUUUCUCAGACGUAUACUAGAACAGUGACUAAUGUCGGGGAAGCUAAAUCAUCUUACAGUGUGGAAAUAGCUUUACCACCCGGAGUUUCCGUGACUGUUAAGCCCUCUAUACUGAAAUUUUCCAAGUUGAACCAGAAUUUAAAAUACCAAGUGACGUUUACGAGAAGAGAUAAUAGCCCAAAUAGUGGUAUUGUUCAAGGAUUCUUGAAAUGGAGUAGUAAAAAGUACUCUGUAAGAAGCCCAAUUGCAGUCGUGCUACAGCCUAAAAUUGAUUUCUAGUUUUAUUUUUCUUCUCAUUUUAGUAAUUGGAACAAUGUAUGACAAGAAUAUAUUUGAAUAAUUUGCAUGUUUCAUUUUCACAACAUCAAAAAUGUUACCACAUGUAUUUCAUAAACCAAGACACAUAAUUAAUACUAACAUGUGUAUAGGUUUAUAUUUUCAACAAUAAUAUGAACACAAUUGAAAAAGUAUGGCUGCUAAUCGGAGGAAUUAAGAUCGCUUGGUCAUUUACAAAUGAAUAAAAGAAAACAACAUUUUCAGAUCUCUUGUAAAGUGGACAUAAACUAAAAAUUCAGAUCUCUUGAUGCACCAGUACUGCCUCUGCAGAUGGAAUAAUCUCACCAAGUUGGUGAUAACCACAAACACAUCUUUUAUUCUUUCGCCAAAUAGAAUGUGAAUACUUUUAGCAUUUAAUCAACAUUUUGGAUCGAAACCAUUAUAUAGGAUCCUUUUACAUUGUAAUACUGAUCACUAACAAUAAAAACACAAGAACAACAUACAUAGUGUAAUCCCAUAAGUGGGGUCUGAGGAGGGUGGUGUGUACGCAGCCUUACCUUGUGGAGGUAGAGAGGCUUAAUCCGGUAGACCCUCAGCUCAAGCACUUACAAGAAAAAUAAAAAAGAAAAAAGAAGCUAGAAAUCCAAUCUUGCAGUGUCUACCACAAUUGCAAUUGGACUUCUUACAGAGUGAUUAUUAUUAGUCCAUUUCAAGAAUCCUUGAACAACGCCAUUGUUUGAGCUAUUAGCUCUUAUUGAAAAGGUCACUUGAUAUUCCAACUUCUGGUUCAACUUUGAGAAGUUCAAGGUAGAAGGCGUAACAAUCACUGAAACUCCUAGUAGAGGACCUAUUUCCACAGUGUAAGAUGAUUUUGCAACCCCAAUGUUAGUCACCGUUCUUUUAUAUGUUUGAGCACUUGUUCCAAGUUUGAUGGAGAAUGAAGGAUAAUUUAGUUGUGCUUCAGAAAUACUUCUCACUGUUUGGCAAUCCACCCUAUGUUGUAGAAGGUCUGUUAUCUGUCCAUUUGUAUAAUUUAAACAACAUAGGUAAGGCAAAUGGUCAUCAAAUGGAGUAUCGUAAACUAGUCCUGGAUCAUUAGCUCUUGAUGGAUUGACAUGUCCUGCACCAAUAGCGAAGAUGUUAGCCGGAAGGAGUCUUUCAUCUAAGAUGGGAUUGUUGGCGAGGUUCACUGUGUUAGUGGUUGUCAUGAUUGCUGAGUUGAUAGCUGCAGGGGACAAAAGUCGGGUGUGUGCUUUUCAGCAAUGCUGCUACUCCACUGAGGUG